rnacentral:rRNA from 1 species
CAGUUGAGCGCUGAAGGUUGGUACUUGUACCGACUGGAUGAGCAGCGAACGGGUGAGUAACGCGUGGGGAAUCUGCCUUUGAGCGGGGGACAACAUUUGGAAACGAAUGCUAAUACCGCAUAACAACUUUAAACACAAGUUUUAAGUUUGAAAGAUGCAAUUGCAUCACUCAAAGAUGAUCCCGCGUUGUAUUAGCUAGUUGGUGAGGUAAAGGCUCACCAAGGCGAUGAUACAUAGCCGACCUGAGAGGGUGAUCGGCCACAUUGGGACUGAGACACGGCCCAAACUCCUACGGGAGGCAGCAGUAGGGAAUCUUCGGCAAUGGACGAAAGUCUGACCGAGCAACGCCGCGUGAGUGAAGAAGGUUUUCGGAUCGUAAGACUCUGUUGGUAGAGAAGAACGUUGGUGAGAGUGGAAAGCUCAUCAAGUGACGGUAACUACCCAGAAAGGGACGGCUAACUACGUGCCAGCAGCCGCGGUAAUACGUAGGUCCCGAGCGUUGUCCGGAUUUAUUGGGCGUAAAGCGAGCGCAGGUGGUUUAUUAAGUCUGGUGUAAAAGGCAGUGGCUCAACCAUUGUAUGCAUUGGAAACUGGUAGACUUGAGUGCAGGAGAGGAGAGUGGAAUUCCAUGUGUAGCGGUGAAAUGCGUAGAUAUAUGGAGGAACACCGGUGGCGAAAGCGGCUCUCUGGCCUGUAACUGACACUGAGGCUCGAAAGCGUGGGGAGCAAACAGGAUUAGAUACCCUGGUAGUCCACGCCGUAAACGAUGAGUGCUAGAUGUAGGGAGCUAUAAGUUCUCUGUAUCGC